rnacentral:rRNA from 1 species
UACGUAGGGGGCGAGCGUUGUCCGGAUUUAUUGGGCGUAAAGAGCGUGUAGGCGGCCAGGUAGGUCUGCUGUGAAAACUCGAGGCUCAACCUCGAGACGUCGGCGGAAACCAUCUGGCUAGAGUCCGGAAGAGGAGAGUGGAAUUCCUGGUGUAGCGGUGAAAUGCGCAGAUAUCAGGAGGAACACCUAUUGCGAAGGCAGCUCGCUGGGACGUAACUGACGCUGAGACGCGAAAGCGUGGGGAGCAAACAGG